AGUAUUAUGUCUGAUUAAAGUGAUAAAUUGUAAAUUUAUUAAAGAAAAUUUUAUUUUCUAGUACUA
rnacentral:tRNA from 1 species